UACGUAGGGUCCGAGCGUUGUCCGGAAUUAUUGGGCGUAAAGAGCUCGUAGGCGGUUUGUCGCGUCUGGUGUGAAAACUCGAGGCUCAACCUCGAGCUUGCAUCGGGUACGGGCAGACUAGAGUGCGGUAGGGGAGACUGGAAUUCCUGGUGUAGCGGUGGAAUGCGCAGAUAUCAGGAGGAACACCGAUGGCGAAGGCAGGUCUCUGGGCCGAAACUGACGCUGAGGAGCGAAAGCAUGGGGAGCGAACAGG
rnacentral:rRNA from 1 species